AGAGUUUGAUUCUGGCUCAGGAUGAACGCUGGCGGCGUGCUUAACACAUGCAAGUCGAACGAAGCACAGAAAGCAGAUUACUUCGGUUUGAAGCUUUCUGUGACUGAGUGGCGGACGGGUGAGUAACGCGUGGAUAACCUGCCUCACACAGGGGGAUAACAGUUAGAAAUGACUGCUAAUACCGCAUAAGCGCACAGUCUCGCAUGGGACAGUGUGAAAAACUGAGGUGGUGUGAGAUGGAUCCGCGUCUGAUUAGGCAGUUGGCGGGGUAACGGCCCACCAAACCGACGAUCAGUAGCCGGCCUGAGAGGGUGAACGGCCACAUUGGGACUGAGACACGGCCCAAACUCCUACGGGAGGCAGCAGUGGGGAAUAUUGCACAAUGGGGGAAACCCUGAUGCAGCGACGCCGCGUGAAGGAAGAAGUAUUUCGGUAUGUAAACUUCUAUCAGCAGGGAAGAAAGUGACGGUACCUGACUAAGAAGCCCCGGCUAACUACGUGCCAGCAGCCGCGGUAAUACGU
rnacentral:rRNA from 1 species